CCUACGGGUGGCUGCAGUCGAGAAUCAUUCACAAUGGGGGAAACCCUGAUGGUGCGACGCCGCGUGGGGGAAUGAAGGUCUUCGGAUUGUAAACCCCUAUCAUGUGGGAGCAAAUUAAAAAGAUCGUACCACAAUAGGAAGAGACGGCUAACUCUGUGCCAGCAGCCGCGGUAAUACAGAGGUCUCAAGCGUUGUUCGGAAUCACUGGGCGUAAAGCGUGCGUAGGCUGUUUCGUAAGUCGUGUGUGAAAGGCGCGGGCUCAACCCGCGGACUGCACAUGAUACUGCGAGACUAGAGUAAGGGAGGGGGAACCGGAAUUCUCGGUGUAGCAGUGAAAUGCGUAGAUAUCGAGAGGAACACUCGUGGCGAAGGCGGGUUCCUGGACAUUAACUGACGCUGAGGCACGAAGGCCAGGGGAGCGAAAGGGAUUAGAUACCCCUGUAGUC
rnacentral:rRNA from 1 species